GGAAAUAUGACCCUGGUCACCAAACCAACUCAGAGACAGCAAGUGCUUUGGCAAAGGAAAGGGCUGGCACAGAGAACAGAGUCGAUUUCUCAUUGUCUUCACCAAUCUUCUGAACCCGUGAAUACUUUUUGCAUGAUGAUUUGAAGCAGCCAGGAGGCCAAGACAGCGGCCAGGAGAAGCAGCAAGGAAUUGAGCCUUGUACAUUUUUCUCAAAAAAAUAAAAGAUGGGGAACCACCAUGCUCGAGAUAAGAAAUUAGUCUGUGAAGAGACCUUCAAGUUCUGUAAAUGAGCCCCCAGCUAUCAAUACAUUACAGCAGGAUGAGAAAGACCCAGGCCUUUGACAUCCCAGGCUUUGACAGGCCCAGGCUUGACAGUGUCUUGGCACAAUGUUGUGGGAAGAAUAAGCACAAUGAAGAGGUGCCUCAGGAAGAGGACACACUCAGCCACCCACCUCAUGGGACUGCUAUGAGAAUGACUGAAAUAAUUAAUUGUGAAGAGCUUUGUGCCCCUGGGAGUAAGAACACUAUGACACAACUGGAGAAACUGGUUAUUUUACCAAGGCUUAGGCUGGAAUGGUGUGCUUUCCUUUAAAGAAUCAAACUUGACUUAUGGAGCCAAUAAAAGCCUCUUGGGAAAACUGGCCUCAUACAUGUCUACACAGUCCCUGUAUAGGGUUCCUGACCUGUGGAAGAGGGACGCAGAUAUCUCAACCCAACCCUUCACUGAAGACAUGAGAUAUAUUAUAAAACAAGAAAUUUAGUUCCAAUGUAUCCAAGCUGUCCCUUCGGAAGGUGAUCAGAAGAGAGAAAUGAGUUUGGAAAAGAAAAGGAAUAGCUGAACAAGAGCAAGUGAUUUCAGAAAUCUAAACCCUGAGAAAACAUGGGUAACAGAGAAGAACUUCUGCUGUGAUAUCUACUUCUGCAGGGAGUAGAGAAACAGAAGUAGAAGGUAAAUCUGAGAUGAGCACAGAGAUAUCAAGUGAAUUGCCCAAGGUCACCAACUAGUAAGCAGUGAAGCCAGCAUUUGGUACUUUGGUAGCUCUGACUCGGCAGGCUGUUCUACCCCUCUUUGGGAAAAGCGUCGCAAAUGAGCACACAGCUUCAGGGUGAAUUCUUACAGCAAAGAAAAGGAAAUGGGAUAGCACAGCCCUGCUAUGUCAGAAGAACCAACAUCAGACAUCAGUGGAUUCUCAUAGCAACAUCUCCCCACUGCUUCCUCUUGACACACAGGAAAAAUGUUCCAGAAUCAACUGGGAAGACUGGCAUUUCAUUUAUAAAUGUAAUUCCCAGGCUGGGUCGGUAACUCCUCCAAUCUUUCCAAUUACGUUCAUUUCAGAUAUAGGGGACAGAAAUGCUCCAGAAAAGAACUAGACCAUAUUUGGAGGAGGAGAGAAGGAGUACACCCUUCAUCUGUGUUGUGAACUAUGUGGAGGAGAGUAGUAUGUUACAGUACAGAGAGUCUUGGGGAGGCCAUGUGCAUGUGUCUUCAGGCCUCCACCUCCUUUCAACUUGAGGAGCUCUGCUUUUCCUUCUAUUUUAGAGGGGUUACCCAAAAUCUCAUCUGAAAUCUGGGUUCCAUGGCUAAAGAAGUUUAAAAACUGAUAGUGCCAUGACAAAGCCCUGGAUCAGAAGUCACAAAACAAGAAUCCAAGAAUCUCUCUCUCAGUUUGGCCACAAACAAGUCAUGAUUAAUCCUGGGCCAACUACUUCCUUGGGAAACACCACCAUCUCUCAGUCAGCAAAGACAGAACCAGAGAGAGAGACUCUGCAAGUUCAGGAAGAAAGGUUCCAACUACUUUUACUCUCCGUUGCAUCUCCUAAUGUCACCACUUCCUCAGAGCAGGGUUUAGUCACUACUACAAAACAUUGCUCAGGAACUGCAGAGCCACUAGCCUGGCAUGUGGUGACACAUUCCCAACACAAUUCUCUAACAUUCUGAUUUCCCUUGCAAAGAUAAAUUCAAGCGAACUUAGAACUCUUAAAGAUCAGAUUGAGAUUGAAUGCCAUUGGCUUUCUCCCCAUACCUAUGCUCCUACACAUCUCUUCAGCCCAGCACAGGGUUUUAAAAGCUCACUGCUUAACACAGGGCUAUCUCCUCUGCUGGUUAUGAGCUGCAAGGAUAGAGUCCAUGUCCUGUUUGUGUUGGUGUUCCUGGCCACUAGCCAAGAACCUGCAGCCCAGCCCUAGAAUAGCAGUUGAAUGAAUGUGGCAGCCCACACACUCAAAGACACCAGAAUUAUCUUACCCUUUCCCAGAGAGCUUCAGGUACCUUUCUUUUCCUAAAUGAGUCACUAAUGUGUCUGUAUAAAUAUGGUUUCCAUAUAUGUCACAGAGCCCAAACAUUUCAUCUGACUUACUGUGGUUUACUUUUUGUGACUGCAUUUUUAUUAUAUCUUAUAUAAAAAGGGGGAUAUAACAGAAGGAAAAAACAGUAAAGCAAAAACCCAUAUCUAGCUUCAGAGCAUUACAUAUCCACU
ensembl:lncRNA CYP2U1-AS1 CYP2U1 and SGMS2 antisense RNA 1